GGGAGUAAAAGUCGUAACAAGGUCUCCGUUGGUGAACCAGCGGAGGGAUCAUUACCGAAGUUACCCUUCAAAACCCAUUGUGAACCAUACCUCUUGCCGCGUUGUCUCGGCGGGAGGCGCUGGGGCCUCGGCCCCGCGUCCCCGCCGGCAGCGCCAAACUCUAAACUGCAAAGCGUACUGCAUGUUCUGAUUUACAAAAAAAACAAGCUAAAACUUUCAACAACGGAUCUCUUGGUUCUG
rnacentral:misc_RNA from 1 species